AGGACGAACGCUGGCGGCGUGCUUAACACAUGCAAGUCGAGCGGUAAGGCCUUUCGGGGUACACGAGCGGCGAACGGGUGAGUAACACGUGGGUGAUCUGCCCUGCACUUCGGGAUAAGCCUGGGAAACUGGGUCUAAUACCGGAUAUGACCUCAGGUUGCAUGACUUGGGGUGAAAGAUUUAUCGGUGCAGGAUGGGCCCGCGGCCUAUCAGCUUGUUGGUGGGUAAUGGCCUACCAAGCGACGACGGGUAGCCGACCUGAGAGGGUGACCGGCCACACUGGGACUGAGACACGGCCCAGACUCCUACGGGAGCAGCAGUGGGAAUAUGCACAAUGGGCGAAAGCUGAUGCAGCGACGCGCGUGAGGAUGACGGCUUCGGUUGUAACCUCUUUCAGCGAGGACGAAGACGACGAAGUGACGGUACUGCGAGAAGAAGCAACCGACUAACUACGUAGCCAGCACGCCGAC
rnacentral:rRNA from 1 species